AUGCCUUACACAUGCAAGUCGGACGGCAGCGCGGGCUUCGGCCUGGCGGCGAGUGGCGAACGGGUGAGUAAUACAUCGGAACAUGUCCAGUAGUGGGGGAUAGCCCGGCGAAAGCCGGAUUAAUACCGCAUACGAUCUGUGGAUGAAAGCGGGGGACCUUCGGGCCUCGCGCUAUUGGGGUGGCCGAUGGCGGAUUAGCUAGAUGGUGGGGUAAAGGCCUACCAUGGCGACGAUCCGUAGCUGGUCUGAGAGGACGACCAGCCACACUGGGACUGAGACACGGCCCAG
rnacentral:rRNA from 1 species